GUGCUCACUGGGCUUGGUCUUCUCCAUGUGGUCCUGACCUGCCCACUUGUGAGCAAGAGAAUUGGAACUGGUUUGGGGGUGUCCUGUCUCAGUGAACAUUGGACACCAUGGUUUUCAGUACAACA
ensembl:scaRNA